CUUCUGCUUUUGCACAAGUUUGUGUUGAAGAAGUCAGUGGAGACAGGAAGCGCUUCUUUGUGUGGAGGAGAAAAAUAUGGCAUGCUUACCUUCCUACUCUUCUUUUUAUUAUUUUUGGUGUUGAUACAACAUGUCACUGCUGUUGAUCUCUGAGAUAAUGUGAUAAAAAUAGAAGGAUUUCCAUCGCACUGAUGAUCAUGGAACAUGAUUUGUAUGCUGGGGCGAAAGGACAACGGUGGAUUGGAGGCAGAAAAACAGCCAUUCGUGUUCACUCAGUCGCCGGUGAAAGACGAGCAACGAGCAGGCAGGCGGAUGGAGUGAUGAAAACGAUAGAUGAGAGAUAAGAAGAGUGAAGGGAACAGUGACCUGCUUGGUAUUCACCUGUCUCUCUGGAUCAAUAAAGUCUCGUGGGGCCGCAGCGGGUCUCAUCAGUGGGUUAUAGGCAUGGAGGAUGCUGUCCGUCAUGUGAGGUCACCAGUGUUGAGAGGAAUGUUCCAUGUCAGGGACAUCAGGGGUGUCCUGAGGGAGACAAAACGCCACAAAGACUAAACCCCACCUCUGGCCAGUCACUGCUGCCUGUCCUGCUUGUCUAGUUUAUUUUAUGGAAGUACACAGGUGUGCACCACACCUGCACACAUGCUGCAUUUUCUCUCUCACUCGAUAUUCACGUGCAAGCUCUGUGUUGUGACCUCAGGUUAAAGUGUUACAGAGCACCCAUAUGCUCGUACAUGCUCUCUUUUUUUCCCCCCACACUGUCUCUUAUAAAAAGGUGUAAUGUUGACUUCAGACAACACAAAAAGGGCUUUUUAUGUGUUGAUGAACAGGAGUGAGACAGGUUAUUGGUACAGGCUAUGGGGGAGCAGAUUCCGUUUCAGUUUAUUUUAAUUAAGUGAGGAGAAGUAUGGGGGUCCACAUACCAUUCCUAUCAUAUCAUUCCCAUGUUUUGUAUCCCAGAAAGCUGCCACCUUUUAACAGGAAUGCAGCCUUUAAUGCAAGGCGUCAAAAGUGAAAGGAUAAAGAUCCCUGAUAAAGUCUGAAGUAUAUGGUUGUGCAUGAAACAAGUAAGAAACUGGUUCUGGAGGCGGACAAUCCUGACAUUGUCAUAUUGACAAUAAUCUGAUUAUGUGUUUUCAGGCAAUGUGUGCUCAUUUAUACUGUCAGGUUUUUAGUUUCCAUGAGCUUGUAUCAGGCUUCAGCAAAGUUCAGAUUCAGUUUUAGUGAGUAUCUUGUAAAUGUUACAAAGCAUGCAGUAAUUAUUAAAUUAUACUACCGAGUGGCUGCU